rnacentral:rRNA from 1 species
CAAGACUAAAAUUUAAAGGAAUUGACGGGAACCUGCACAAGCGGUGGAGUAUGUGGUUUAAUGCGAAGACACACGUCGAACCUUACCAGCUUUUGACAUGUAUUUGAAAGAACAAGAGAUUGUUCUGGCCUCGCAAGAGGACAAAUACACAGGUGUUGCACGGCCGUCGUCAGCUCGUGUCGUGAGAUGUUAGGUUAAGUCCUGUAACGAGCGUGACCCUUGUUGCUAUUUGCCAGCGGGUAAUGCCGGGAACUUUAGCAAGACCGCUAACGUAAGUUGGAGGAAGGAGAGGAUGACGACAGGUGGCGUGACCUUUAUGAGCUGGGCUACACACGUGCUACAAUGGCGACUACAGAGAGCGGCGAUGGAGUGAUCCGGAGCAAAUCUUUUAAAAGUCGUCUCAGUUCGGAUUGCUCUCUGCAACUCGAGAGCAUGAAGUUGAAAUCGCUAGUAAUCGCAGAUAAGAAUGCUGCGGUGAAUAAGUUCUCAGGUUUUGUACACACCGCCCGUCACACCACGGGAGUUAGUCUAAUUCGAAGUCGAUCCAGCCAACCCGCUUGCGGGAGGCAGACGAUCAGGGUUAGGUUGAUGAUUGGGGUU